ACCAGACUCCUACGGGAGGCAGCAGUGGGGGAUAUUGCACAAUGGGGGGAACCCUGAUGCAGCGACGCCGCGUGGGUGAAGGAGUAUUUCGGUAUGUAAAGCCCUAUCGGCAGGGAAGAAUUUAGACGGUACCUGACUAAGAAGCCCCGGCUAACUACGUGCCAGCAGCCGCGGUAAUACGUAGGGGGCAAGCGUUAUCCGGAUUCACUGGGUGUAAAGGGAGCGUAGACGGCCAGGCAAGCCUGGAGUGAAAGCCCGGGGCCCAACCCCGGGACUGCUCUGGGAACUGUCCGGCUGGAGUGCGGGAGGGGCAGGCGGAAUUCCUGGUGUAGCGGUGAAAUGCGUAGAUAUCAGGAGGAACACCGGCGGCGAAGGCGGCCUGCUGGACCGCGACUGACGUUGAGGCUCGAAAGCGUGGGGAGCGAACAGGAUUAGAUACCCCAGUA
rnacentral:rRNA from 1 species